ensembl:snRNA U6 U6 spliceosomal RNA
GUACUCACCUUGGCGGCACAUGUACUAAAAUCAAAAGAAUACAGUGAAGAUUGGCAUAGCAUAGCCCCCAAAUAAGGGUGAUAUGGAAUUUGUAAAGAAUUUCAUAUUUUUU